AACAAAGCUAUUUACCACAUGUGCUGGUCUAUUCUUUUUUUUUUCUGUCUAAACUAUAAACGUCCUGUUUUAAAAAAUACAUGACAGACAUAUUAGUAUUAGUAAAAUUAUCAUUUACUUAUUUACGUAACGGUUUCACAGCUGAGCCAAAAUUGCCAUGAUUAAUAGAUAAAUAACGUGUGUCUGUAUGUACAAGUGACAAUACAUAGAAGUUCCUAUGAAAGUUAUUCGUAUUCAUUGCUUGUUGAUCUAUUGAUAAUUUGCAAGCAAUCAUUAUCCAAAAUGUAUCGACACUUUUUUUUUUCUCCUUCCCACUCCUUUCACAUGAUUAAUUGUACAUAUUUAAUAUUCUUCGUUAUUGUAGUUUUAUCAAAUGUGUUAUAAAUGAUUACCAAAAAGAAAAAAAAUGCCCCGCCUUGAAUUUAUUAAAGCAUGAUAAAAUUAGACAUUUCGACCAUAAAAAUAUUAGUGUAGGGAGCGAUCCGUAUUUCACUUGUGUUUUACAUACAAAAAAAAUAAAAGAAGAAAUUAGUUAUGGCGAACCUCUUAAAUCCAGUCAGCAACUCGUAUUAAACUCUAAUCUAAUUACAUGAAGGAGAAGCUCCCCACUGGCCACGAUACUGUGAAAAUGGAAGCCUUUCUUAUUCCUGUUCCAUUAACUCAAUCGCAUGGAGAAUAUAAUCGUGUACCAUUUAUUAAUUUACCAGAUGAAAUUAUUACUGGAGUUUAAAAUUUGAGAAAGUGGUCUUCAGUUAAAACAAAAAGUUUUUGAAAGAAUCAAGUGAUGUUUUUACGCCGAAAAACAUUAAUUGCUCUCCAUAAAAAUACCCACUGAAAGCGAUGCUGUGAUGGAAAAACACAAAUUACUGAAUGUUAGGGCACAAAUUAACAAACAUGUCGAAAAAUCAAUUAUGG